rnacentral:rRNA from 10 species
CGAAGUCUUCGGACUUAGUGGCGGACGGGUGAGUAACACGUGGGAACGUGCCUUUAGGUUCGGAAUAACUCAGGGAAACUUGUGCUAAUACCGAAUGUGCCCUUCGGGGGAAAGAUUUAUCGCCUUUAGAGCGGCCCGCGUCUGAUUAGCUAGUUGGUGAGGUAAAGGCUCACCAAGGCGACGAUCAGUAGCUGGUCUGAGAGGAUGAUCAGCCACAUUGGGACUGAGACACGGCCCAAACUCCUACGGGAGGCAGCAGUGGGGAAUCUUGCGCAAUGGGCGAAAGCCUGACGCAGCCAUGCCGCGUGAAUGAUGAAGGUCUUAGGAUUGUAAAAUUCUUUCACCGGGGACGAUAAUGACGGUACCCGGAGAAGAAGCCCCGGCUAACUUCGUGCCAGCAGCCGCGGUAAUACGAAGGGGGCUAGCGUUGCUCGGAAUUACUGGGCGUAAAGGGAGCGUAGGCGGACAUUUAAGUCAGGGGUGAAAUCCCGGGGCUCAAC